rnacentral:rRNA from 1 species
GAUGAACGCUGGCGGCGUGCCUAAUACAUGCAAGUCGAGCGAACAGACGAGGAGCUUGCUCCUCUGACGUUAGCGGCGGACGGGUGAGUAACACGUGGAUAACCUACCUAUCAUACUGGGAUAACUUCGGGAGACCGGAGCUAAUACCGGAUAAUAUCUUGAACCGCAUGGUUCAAUAGUGAAAGACGGUUUUGUUCUCACUUAUAGAUGGCUCCUCGCCGUUUUAGCUAGUUGGUUAGUUAACGGCGUACCAAGGCUACGAGGCGUUGCCGACCUGAGGGGGUGAGAGGCCACCCGGGAACUUAGACACGGUCCAGACUCCUACGGGAGGCAGCAGUAGGGAAUCUUCCGCAAUGGGCGAAAGCCUGACGGAGCAACGCCGCGUGGGUGAGGGAGGUCUUCGGAUCGUAAAACUCUGUUAUUAGGGAAGAACAAAUGUGUAAGUAACUAUGCACGUCUUGACGGUACCUAAUCAGAAAGCCACGGCUAACUACGUG